rnacentral:rRNA from 1 species
CUACGGGUGGCUGCAGUGGGGAAUCUUAGACAAUGGGCGAAAGCCUGACGCAGCAACGCCGCGUGAGUGAUGAAGGCCUUCGGGUCGUAAAGCUCUGUCAAGUGGGAAGAACCUAUGUAAUGUUAAUAUCAUUAUAUACUGACGGUACCACUGAAGGAAGCACCGGCUAACUCCGUGCCAGCAGCCGCGGUAAUACGGGGGGUGCAAGCGUUAUUCGGAAUCAUUGGGCGUAAAGGGCACGUAGGCGGCCUGGUAAGUCAGAUGUGAAAGCCCGGGGCUUAACCCCGGAAGUGCAUUUGAUACUGUCAGGCUUGAGUAUGGGAGAGGGAAGUGGAAGCCCUGGUGUAGAGGUGAAAUUCGUAGAUAUCAGGAGGAACACCGGUGGCGAAGGCGACUUCCUGGACCAAUACUGACGCUGAGGUGCGAAGGCGUGGGUAGCAAACAGGAUUAGAUACCCCCGUAGUC